rnacentral:lncRNA from 1 species
AUAAGAUUCAGUAUAGAGGAGCAUAACUCAAAAACGGACGGUAAAAGUGACACUACCCAAUAUUGUGGUUAGUCUGUGUUUUGUAGUUAUACUCAUUGCUUAUAAGUUUCAUAACAUACGUUUGAUGCAAACGAAUGUUAGAGAAAGGAGACAAUAAAUUCAGCAAUUUUUCCAUUUAUAAAGGGGCAUAACUCUAGAAUGGUAAAAAAAGAC